UGUGAAUGAUGACUCUUUUUAUCCUGACUCUGACGUGGAGGCAAAAAACUGAUUUAAUGAGCCUGACAC